rnacentral:rRNA from 1 species
UACAGAGGGGGCGAGCGUUGUUCGGAAUUACUGGGCGUAAAGGGCGCGUAGGCGGCCUGUUAAGUCGGACGUGAAAUCCCCGGGCUCAACCCGGGAACUGCGUCCGAUACUGGCAGGCUUGAAUCCGGGAGAGGGAUGUGGAAUUCCAGGUGUAGCGGUGAAAUGCGUAGAUAUCUGGAGGAACACCGGUGGCGAAGGCGGCAGCCUGGACCGGCAUUGACGCUGAGGCGCGAAAGCCAGGGGAGCAAACGGG